rnacentral:sRNA from 1 species
CCACCUGCUGCGGGCAGAUGAAGUGGAUGUGGCAGUCGAUGCCGCCGGCGGUCAGGAUCUUGCCCUCGCCGGCGAUCACCUCGGUCCCCGGGCCGAUGACGAUGUCGACGCCCGGCUGGAUGUCGGGGUUGCCGGCCUUGCCGAUGGCGGCGAUGCGGCCGUCAUGGAUCGCGACAUCGGCCUUGACGAUGCCCCAGUGGUCCAGGAUCACGGCGUUGGUGAUGACGGUGUCGACGGCGCCUUCGGCCCGGGUCGCCUGGCCCUGGCCCUGG